rnacentral:rRNA from 1 species
GACGUAGGUGGCGAACGUUAUCCGGAAUUAUUGGGCGUAAAGGGUAGGUAGGUGGUCUCAUUUGUCUGGGGUGAAAGCCUUGAGCUUAACUCAAGAAGUGCCCCGGAAACGGUGAGACUGGAGUCCUGGAGAGGGUCGUGGAAUUCCCGGUGUAGCGGUGAAAUGCGUAGAGAUCGGGAGGAACACCAGAGGCGAAGGCGGCGACCUGGACAGGCACUGACACUCAACUACGAAAGCGUGGGGAGCAAACAGG